UAGAUACUCCCUCUGUUCGGAAUUACUUGUCACAUAAAUGGAUGUAUCUAGACGUAUUUUAGUUCUAGAUACAUCCAUUUCCAAGACAAGUAAUUCCGAACGAAGGAAGUAUAAG
rfam:Triticum aestivum genome assembly, contig: Triticum_aestivum_CS42_TGACv1_scaffold_457143_5DS